ACUAAAACAUCAACCAUCGUGUUUGUGAAUACUCCGCCGCUCCACCUCCUCCUUCUCUUAAACCCCAAAUCUCUCCACCUCUCCACCACCAAGCCGUCGCCCCUCCACGCCGGCAGAGAUAGAGAGCUCCCAGCCCGUCGCCCCUCAGUCCUCACGCUUCACACCGUCGCCCGACUCGCCCCCAACAGCUUCACGCCUUCGUCUUCACGGCUCCAGCUCCAGAUCCAGAUCCAGAUCCAGAUCCAGCCAGCUCCUAUCCAUUUCACUUUACAUAGCUUAUUCUUCAACCUUUAUUCAUAUAUGGAUUAAAUUUAGUUACUCAAUAGACAACAAAAUCUAGUUAAAAUUCAGUUUAAUCAUGGGUUUGUAUUGUUUUAGUACUGCACAAUCGAUUAAUUACCUAAAUCAUGUUUGUACUAUAUUAAGAUAUUAGCUAUAAUAAUUAAAUAAAAUCAGCCUUCAAUUGAUAAA